rnacentral:tRNA from 1 species
GCCCCUAUUGUCUAAUGGCUAUGAUGUCAGAUUCCUACACUUUAGGCAGCAUCUGGAGGUUGCGGGUUCGAAUCCCGCUAGGGGUU